rnacentral:rRNA from 1 species
GAUGAACGCUAGCGACAGGCUUAACACAUGCAAGUCGAGGGGCAGCGGGGGUGAUGGCUUGCCAUCACCUGCCGGCGACCGGCGCACGGGUGAGUAACACGUAUGCAACCUGCCCGCCACAGGGGGAUAAGCGGAAGAAAUUCCGUCUAAUACCGCGUAACAACCCAUGGAGGCAUCUCCGUGGGUUUAAAGGAAGCGAUUCCGGCUACGGAUGGUCAUGCGUCGCAUUAGCUAGUUGGCGGGGUAACGGCCCACCAAGGCGACGAUGCGUAGGGGUUCUGAGAGGAAGGUCCCCCACACUGGUACUGAGACACGGACCAG